rnacentral:rRNA from 1 species
GCGGCGGACGGGUGAGUAACACGUGGGCAACCUGCCUGUAAGAUCGGGAUAACUCGCGGAAACGUGAGCUAAUACCGGAUAACACUUUUCAUCUCAUGGUGAGAAGAUAAAAGACGGUUUCGGCUGUCACUUACAGAUGGGCCCGCGGCGCAUUAGCUAGUUGGUGAGGUAACGGCUCACCAAGGCGACGAUGCGUAGCCGACCUGAGAGGGUGAUCGGCCACACUGGGACUGAGACACGGCCCAGACUCCUACGGGAGGCAGCAGUAGGGAAUCUUCCGCAAUGGACGAAAGUCUGACGGAGCAACGCCGCGUGAGUGAUGAAGGUUUUCGGAUCGUAAAACUCUGUUGUUAGGGAAGAACAAGUUGGGUAGUAACUGACCCAACCUUGACGGUACCUAACCAGAAAGCCACGGCUAACUACGUGCCAGCAGCCGCGGUAAUACGUAGGUGGCAAGCGUUGUCCGGAAUUAUUGGGCGUAAAGCGCUCGCAGGCGGUCUUUUAAGUCUGAUGUGAAAGCCCACGGCUUAACCGUGGAGGGUCAUUGGAAACUGGAGGAC